rnacentral:lncRNA from 1 species
UGUGGGGGUUAACCUCCCCAGCACAGGAUUGUCUGAUUUCUCAAAGCAGAAGCGGAUUCGUUGAGGAUCUUUGGUCAGAGCCUGAUAUCAUAGCUAGCCUUCCUCCGUCGACUAGCGUAUUCCACUAGUUCAGGGGGAGGAAAGAGGAGAAUUCUUGAAAGAGAGUCAAAUGACCUAUCCUUGAAAGCAUGAAAUUCAGUCAGUCCUUUCAUUCCUUCCUGAGAAUAGAUCCCCAAUAGCUCGCAGAUGAGGAAUUCUUCCGCUACGAC